CGGAUCGCCACAGGUAAGAGUAUGAACAAUAAUAACUGUUUUUGAACAAAAGGAUUAAGUUACAAUGCAACGGGUUCAACCUAUUACAACUUCACCAUUCUUUACUUCUCCUUAAUAGGUCCCUACAGUUGAACUUUCAGAUCUACCUGAAGUCAGUUCCCGACCCUCCAAAGUUUUUAGAGGCCGUCUGUAGCAAAUGCACCACUUUCGGGUUUAACUUUAAAAUUGAGUUAAAAUAUUGAGCAAAAGUACUGCCCAACAAGUAUAUAAUAUCCAACCCAACAGUAAAUCAUAAAUAGUAUGUAAAGCAUGGCAAUAAUAUCAAGAAUGUAACAUGCUUUAAAGAUUAAUCAACACAAUAUGAUUUAAGCAAAACAGUUUCAUUUUUAUGGAAUUGGAAACAGAUAAAACGCUACGAGCUAAGCUGGGUGAUUAGCCCACGACAAAGCUCCGAACCCGCAUAUCCAAUACGAGUUCUCAAAUAUAAAGGAUCCUAGGCACACUUUGGCCUUAUAUAAACAUCAGGCUCCCCGCUACGGAUGUUUGUAAUUGAAAUGGUGAUUGGCGCCUCAGUCAUAAAAACAUUUUUCAACCAAUUCCCUUUUUAAAACAGAUAAUUCAAAUCAUUUUAAAACUAUAAAUCAUUGUUGCAAAACAGCUUUGGAAUUAUACUAUGCCAAGUAUUCUCUCAAGGGAAUGAUAAUUCAUAAAGAAAGAUAAUAUGAACUAUUUAUGACAAGAUUGGGAAAUAGCUAUUGAGGGUUAAGUGUUUAGGUUCAUAUGACAACCAAGUGAAGUGGUCUAUUAGGUGAAGAAUACUUCUGGUUUGUUAACAUUGAAGAAUUCAAGGUAUAAGUUCUUAGUGUUAUUGUAAGCUUAUAACAGGGUUCUAAAGAAUCAAGUUUAUAGGGGAGAAAUAUGAUAGGUUAAAGCAUCAAAGGUUAUACAAGUUCUUCGUUUAUAACAAUCUAGAAUACUUGGCAACUAGUAGAGUUUUAAACUUUGAUUUCAAUGAU
rnacentral:lncRNA from 1 species